rnacentral:misc_RNA from 1 species
GCUGUUUUUUUCAAGUUCAUAGCUUUUGAAUUUCAUGCCCCUUUGUGAGAUAAACCAAUGAAUAUACCUGUGCCUGUCAUGGUAAUUUUAUUUAUAUGUCAAAAAAAUUAUUUAUAAAAAACAAAAAGACAAUCCUGACAACUCCUAUUAUCUAUUGCAUUUUGCACAGUGAACUAUUCUUUGCGUGAAAUAAUUAGAACUGUAAGGCAGUCAAAAGAACUAACCUAGCAGUCAAAGGAUAUCUAAAAUAUGU